UACGUAGGGGGGCAAGCGUUGUCCGGAUUCAUUGGGCGUAAAGAGCGUGUAGGCGGCCAGGUAGGUCGGUUGUGAAAACUGGAGGCUCAACCUUCAGAGGUCGACCGAAACCAUCUGGCUAGAGUCCGGGAGAGGAGAGUGGAAUUCCUGGUGUAGCGGUGAAAUGCGCAGAUAUCAGGAAGAACACCCGUGGCGAAAGCGGCUCUCUGGAACGGUACUGACGCUGAGACGCGAAAGCGUGGGGGAGCGAACAGGG
rnacentral:rRNA from 1 species